rnacentral:rRNA from 1 species
GGGGAGAGCCCCGCUGACCCCUCUAGGAGAACCUGCCUAAGGAUCAUUACUGUGACGCGGCUCGGGCUCGCUCGGCCUCGCCCACCCUGUGUGACCCACUCCAUUGCUUCGGCGGGCCGUUGGCCAGAGGCCGACCGCCGGCUCUCGCCGGUGAGCACCCGCCGGAUUACCCUGAUACUCGACUGGCUACUCGGCUGUCCGAUCGCUUAGUGAAUCGAACAAAACUUUCAACAACGGAUCUCUUGGUUCCGGCAUCGAUGAAGAACGCAGCGAAAUGCGAUACCUUUUGUGAAUUGCAGAAUUCCCUGAAUCGUCUAGUCUUUGAACGGUCCUUGCGCCCUUUGGCAUUCCUAAGGGCACGCCUGUGCGAUCGUCCUUUCACCCUCGGGCGCUGCUUGCUCUUGGGCCGCCGACGGCGCUGGCGGGGCCCCAGAAGCGUUGGCGAUCAGCCGUUCUGGCGCACGACGAAAUCGAGGGGCGCGGACAGCCGCUUUCGCCCUUCCCUCUCAGGUUGACCUCCGAUCCAGGGGGGAUACCCGCUGAACUUUA